UAUAGAUAAAGGAAUAUACUGCACUCCAGCUUUUCUUCUAGAUUCUACUUCUCCAAGGGCUGAAUUUAGACUCAGGAGAAAUACUUAUUCCUAAAGUUGUUUUUUAGCAUUCUUCCGUUCCCCUCCCUGCAACUUAGAUUCCAGACAAGGCAUACCACGAAGAUACUUACUUUUAACAUUAAAGUAAACAAACAUUAAUUCUGUUUUGAAACUACAGUGACCUACCUUAAGACAACGAGAGUUGGCCAAGAUUACCACAAUUCCUGGAUUUCCAGGAAGCCUUUUGCAGCUGACUAAAUCCGGGUCCCACCCAGGGUGUCCACAAGCCUCUGUUCUGGCUCACAUUCAAGGCCACAGCAUGCCAGUAAAACGGAUAAAAAUACACCCACCCAGAACAGAUCAUUGCAAAACUGCAGGCUACUGGGGAUAAACAGAACGUGCUACAAGCUCCCAAAGACAAUGUGAAGGAGGAGGAAGGAAGGAGCAGGGAAGGAAAGGGUUGGAGUGUGUGGCCACAAACCAGGGAAUACGGCAGCCACCAGAAACUGGAAAAAGCAUGGAAUGGAUUCUCUCUUGGAACCUCUGCUGACGCUUGAUUUCAGCCCAGUGAUACUGACUUCAGAUCUUGGGCCUCCAGAACUGGGGGAAAAUAAACCUCCAUUGUGUUAAGCCCUCAGUUUGUGAUCAUUUGUUACAGCGGCCCCAGGAAUCAAGUACAGCAGGUUGCCCCAGAGACAGAGCACACCCAGGCCGUUCUGGAGCAAGUCCAAGACUCCAGGCAGGAUUUCUCUACAAGACAAAAUUGGUGGGAUACUUGAUCACCUAUUUGUCUUAAGUGGAGAAUUAGACCGCUGGAGACGCUAUGGGCAUUCAAUUGGUUAGCAGAAAAGAGUCUGUAAGAAUUCACCAGUCUCCUGGCCUGAAGACAAAACGGAAUCAUGAGCACAGCAGGAAAAGUA